UGAUGCAGCCAUGCCGCGUGUAUGAAGAAGGCCUUCGGGUUGUAAAGUACUUUCAGUUGUGAGGAAGGGGGUAGCGUUAAUAGCGCUAUCUCUUGACGUUAGCAACAGAAGAAGCACCGGCUAACUCCGUGCCAGCAGCCGCGGUAAUACGGAGGGUGCGAGCGUUAAUCGGAAUUACUGGGCGUAAAGCGCAUGCAGGUGGUUCAUUAAGUCAGAUGUGAAAGCCCGGGGCUCAACCUCGGGAACUGCAUUUGAAACUGGUGAACUAGAGUACUGUAGAGGGGGGUAGAAUUUCAGGUGUAGCGGUGAAAUGCGUAGAGAUCUGAAGGAAUACCAGUGGCGAAGGCGGCCCCCUGGACAGAUACUGACACUCAGAUGCGAAAGCGUGGGGAGCAAACAGGAUUAGAUACCCUGGUAGUCCACGCCGUAAACGAUGUCUACUUGGAGGUUGUGGCCUUGAGCCGUGGCUUUCGGAGCUAACGCGUUAAGUAGACCGCCUGGGGAGUACGGUCGCAAGAUUAAAACUCAAAUGAAUUGACGGGGGCCCGCACAAGCGGUGGAGCAUGUGGUUUAAUUCGAUGCAACGCGAAGAACCUUACCUACUCUUGACAUCCAGAGAAGCCAGCGGAGACGCAGGUGUGCCUUCGGGAGCUCUGAGACAGGUGCUGCAUGGCUGUCGUCAGCUCGUGUUGUGAAAUGUUGGGUUAAGUCCCGCAACGAGCGCAACCCUUAUCCUUGUUUGCCAGCGAGUAAUGUCGGGAACUCCAGGGAGACUGCCGGUGAUAAACCGGGAGGAAGGUGGGGACGACGUCAAGUCAUCAUGGCCCUUACGAGUAGGGCUACACACGUGCUACAAUGGCGCAUACAGAGGGCAGCAAGCUAGCGAUAGUGAGCGAA
rnacentral:rRNA from 1 species